ensembl:lncRNA
UGUUAAGGACAGCUUUUAUAAUUAAAACCUGUGAGAAAGAGAUACAAAAUGGCUUUAAUAAAAUUAAAGGUACUUUACCAAUAAGGUAGCAUUAGAAAUGAAGUAUCCUUUAAAUGCUUCUUGAUAAAGUUCUAACUAAAGCGGGUUAUAAUGGCUAUAAUCUUUUAACUGUUUGUUUGUUUGUUUGUUUGUUUGUUUUUAAGGAGAGGUUGGUACACAAUAAAUGGAAAGAAGGCAUUUACCCAAACAACUCCACUUACCUCAUUUCCACAUUCUUGUUUUUGUUGAUUUGGUUGGUGGAGGAGGGGGUGGUCUCUUCAAAUGACUUUUCCAAGACAAUCUCAAAAGACAUCAUUGUUAUUUGAAUAUACAUACAAAAUUUAUACCAAUAGCAACUAAUCUUGGUCCUAGUUUUUAAUAUUCCAUGCAUCUCACAGCUUGCUCCUCAUUUUAAUUCCUCAACAUUUAGUUUCUAAAGAGCCGCCAUAUUUGGAAUUGAGCUGCAGAAAGAAUGUGAUGAGAAUACAAGAUGAAAACAGUAAUUGUGUACUACAAUUCCAGAAUAUUAUAAAGCUUGUACAUCUGGAAGUUCUGGGUUCACGUACUGCUGAAGCCUAGCUUGAAGGAUUUUGAGCAUAAUCUUGCUAGCAUGUGAAAUGAAUGCAAUUGUAUGGUCAUUUGGACAUUCUUUGGCAUUGCCUUUUUUUGGGAUUGGAAUGAAAAUUUACCUUUUCCAGUCCUGUGGCCACUGCUGAGUUCUCCAAAUUUGCUGGCAUAUCAAGUGCAGCGCUUUAAUAGCAUCAUUGGAAGGACUGAUGCUGAAGCUCCAAUACUUUGGCCACCUGAUGCGAAAAGCCAGCCCACUGCAAAAGACCCUGAUGCCAGGAAAAGUUGAGGGCAGGAGGAGAAAGGGGUGACAGAGGAUGAGAUGGUUGAAUUGCAUCGCUGACUCAAUGGACAUGUGUUUGAGCAAACUCUGGGAGAUAGUGAAGGACAUGGAAGCCUGCCACGCUGCAGUUCAUGGGGUUGCAGAGUCAGAAAGGACUUGGUGACUGAACAACAAAAACAGCCAUGUUGAUUUUAACCAUUUCAGUGAGUGUGUAGUUGUAUCCAGUUAUAGUUUAAUUCAUUUCCCUAAUGACUAAUGAUGUUGAGCACUUUGUAAUAUGUUCAUUUGUUUGCAUAUCUUCUUUAAUGAAUUUUCUGUUAAAGCUUUUUGCUUAUUUUAAAAAAUUAAGUUAUUUUCUAAGACACAUAUGUACCCCAGUGUUCACUGCGGCACUGUUUACAAUAGCGGGGACAUGGGAGCAACCUAGAUGUCCAUUGACAGAUGAAUGGAUAAAUAAGCUAUAGUACAUAUAUACAAUGGGAUAUUAUUCAGCCAGAAAAAGAAACACAUUUGAGUCAGUGCUAUGGAAUGAGGUGGCUCAACCUAGAGCCUAUUAUGCAGAGUGAAGUAAGUCAGAAAGAGAAAGAUAAAUAUCGUAUUCUAACCCAUAUAUAGAGAAUCUAGAAAAAUGGUACUAAUAACCUAUUUGCAGGGCAGCAGUGGGGAUGCAGACAUAGAGAACAGAUUUGUG